GCCCCCGUGGCUUAAUUGGAUAAAGCGCUGCGCUUCGGACGCAGAGAUUGAGGGUUCAACUCCUUCCGGGGGCA
rnacentral:tRNA from 1 species